rnacentral:misc_RNA from 1 species
GAAAUCUCAAGGCGCUCCUCAAGGCGUUACUUGCGAAAUACCUGUGAGGGAUCUGGAAUCUAAUACCUUGUGACAAACAACACUGCAAAAUGGCAGGCGUUGGAAUAAUAUUUCGCCUUCCCAAUGUAACCACUUUUCUCAUAUUAUUGUCUUCGAUUUCCACAAUAACGACAUCAAAUGAACGAAAGAAUGUCCUAGUAAUUAUUGGAGACGAUGCAGGCUUCGAAACGCAGGUGUACGAUAACAUGGUCUGCAAAACUCCAAAUUUAAACGCUUUGGGGAAACGCAGUGUAAUCUUCAGAAAAGCCUUCACUUCUGUAAGUAGCUGCUCUCCAAGCAGGUCUACUAUUCUAACAGGUCUUCCUCAACAUCAGAAUGGUAUGUAUGGUCUUCACCAGGAUGUUCAUCACUUUAAUUCAUUUGAUGCAGUUAGAAGUUUACCUUUGCUGCUACAAAAGGCAAAUGUAAGAACUGGAAUUAUUGGAAAGAAGCAUGUUGGACCUGAAACAGUUUAUCCAUUUGAAUUUGCUUACACAGAAGAAGGUCAUUCUAUACUUCAAGUUGGCCGCAACAUCACUUACAUUAAAGAACUGACACACACGUUUUUCCAAGGAUCUCAGAAAGACUCACGUCCUUUCUUUUUAUACAUUGGCUUUCAUGAUCCCCAUCGAUGUGGACAUACCCAUCCUGAAUUUGGAAGCUUUUGUGAGAAGUUUGGAAAUGGUGAAACAGGCAUGGGGCUUAUUCCUGACUGGAAGCCAUUACACUACUCACCAGAGGAUGUGAUUGUACCAUAUUUUAUACAAGAUACUCCAGCAGCUAGACAAGACAUUGCCAACCAGUAUACAACAAUUAGUCGCCUUGAUCAGGGCAUUGGGCUUAUCUUAGAGGAGCUUCGGCAGGCAGGCUUUGAAGACAACACCUUAGUCAUAUACAGCUCUGAUAAUGGCAUACCAUUCCCAACUGGUCGAACAAACCUGUUUGAUCCAGGCAUGGCAGAGCCAUACCUUGUAUCAUCACCUUACACCCCUGAACGUUGGGGCCAGGAGAGUGAUGCUAUGGUCAGUCUACUGGAUAUAGUUCCUACAGUUCUGGAUUGGUUUGGACUUGAUUACCCCUCAUACAAGCUGUUGGGACCCAAUCCUGUACAGUUAACAGGGAAGUCAGUGUUACCUAUAUUAAAAAAGGAACCACAAUCUGGUUGGGAUACAGUCUAUGCUAGCCACAACUUACAUGAAGUGACAAUGUAUUAUCCAAUGAGAGUCAUUCGAAGUACAUCCUUUAAACUGAUACAUAACCUCAACUACAAGAUGCCAUUUCCUAUUGAUCAAGACUUCUUUGUCUCACCCACUUAUCAAGAUCUUCUGAAUCGCACAGAGGAGGGUGAGCCAACCAGAUGGUUUCGCACACUUGAUCAGUAUUAUUAUCGACCUCAGUGGGAACUUUAUGAUCUUAAAAGUGACCCAGAGGAGCUGACAAACCUCUAUGGUAAACCUGCCUAUCAGGAUGUUGUCAUGGAGUUACACGGCAAGCUAAGUGCAUGGCAAAAUGAAACAGAUGACCCAUGGAUUUGUUCACCAAGCAGUGUUCUAGAAAACAGAGGAAGAUAUCCCACCACAGGUGUGUGUUUGUCAAUGGACAAUGGCACUUGAUUUAAAAAAAAAAUCUGAAAUUUUUGUACUGGUAAUUUUUGUAGCUAUUUUUGAAAAUUUGACAAAAUUCUCUUCACUGCUUGUUUCAAGAAGGUAAAGAGAUUGAAAGUGAAUUUUUGUUAUGGCUGGGGGACAAUAGUGAAUUGGUUUUUUACAGGAUAAGUUUUGUAAUUAAAUUUUUUACCAAGUAGACCAUAGCUUACUAAAAAGGCUGUCAGUAGUGCUCAAGAAAAUUAUCACAGCAUCGCCACAGCAAUGACUAUCAGUUGGGGAAUAAAAGUGAACCUUGUUUGAAAUUUCACGCAUCUUUCUUAACUGAAAACUGCAAAACUUUUGCCAUUCAUUUCAGCUGAAGUUAUAAAAUUAAUGAUUCUGCAGGACAUGAGCUGACUUUCAUUCAAUCAACUUUAGCUUCUCACAAAUCCUUGUAUUCCCUAUUAACUAAAAUGUGGGGUUGAAACAUGUAUCUUCCUCUCUUGGAGUCAUGCAGGAAUUUUCAUCAAGGUCUGCAAGAUUUGACCCGGAAAACACAACAGGUACCAGCAAUUAAAAAAAAGAAAAAAGAUUGAGGCACAGUUUGUGUGGGAUGUUUCUCCAAUGAUUAGACCCCACCUACAUUAUGUGACUGUUUGAAAAGUUCUAGAACAGAAUUCUUUCACUCAGUGUGAAUUUUGCACAUGGACUUCACAGUUGGCAUCCCCUUGAAGGCUUUGUUGAUUGUCACUUAAGGAACUAUUGUAAGAAUCAUAAUAAUAAGGGGUGUUUUGUCUCUCCCAUCAUAGUGGGAACACUGAAUAUCAAUUUGGACAGAGUACUUAUUAUAGUUUCAGUCAUUACCAAAGAAAAUGAUUGAACUUAAUUGUAUGAUUGUGUCUCAGAUUUUCAAUGUGGUAACGAGAAUGCAAAAUCUAGCAUGAAAUAAAUGCAUUCAUUCGGACAUAAUUAUGCUCCUUCAUUAUAAUGUGACCAGUGAACAUCUCAGCUUCAGUAAUUUGCGAAUGUUGAUCCUCCAAGAAAGCUACCAUCAGUCAAGGAGCUUUCCUAAGCCUGACUUUUCUCCAUCAGAUCUUAACAUCCUUCUGUUUAAGAUUAUAAUACUUAAGGGGCUGGUGGGAAUUAACCUACCAACCCAAUUCCAUUUCCUUGCAAGUUUUUUAAAAGGCCUUUAUACUGACACUCAAGUCUUGCAGAAAGACACUUUCUACCUUAUUGGACAAACCCAAUAAAAUGCUGGAAUUGGCAUUUUAUUUAGGGUGAAUGGAAGUUUCAGUGGUAAUUUCCUUUGGCAGAGGCAAGAACAAGAUCCACCAAAUAUGGGUGCAAGUACCCCCCUGGCAGAAGAAACUGGAAAUAUCUCAAACAAGUUUAUACAUGACCCCAGGUGAUUAUGAAAAGAAGCUCAUAACUUCCUAAGCCAUGGAAUUGGGUGAUUAUUUAAUUAUGGUGUGACACAGGCUAAGUAGAUGUCUAGUUAAUGCUCUUAGAGGAUUUCGUCAUGUUUACAAAUAUCCCAGGGUAAUGAUUAUCCUAAGGUAUUAUCUUCAUGAUAAUGUUACUUCCUGUGUGUACAACUGCAAUGACAUGUAGAAUGAAUUUCCAAAACGGCUUUUUUAUGAGGUGUUGCUUUUCGAUAUCCAUCAUUCAGCAAAACAAGAUCCAAGUCCUUUAAAAUUUUCACUGCAUCAUGGCUAGAGUGUUAUGUCUGGUUGUUUGAUAUCCACUUCCAUUAUAUUUUACUUUUGGUAUUACAUUGAGAAAACUUCAUCUUAAUAACAAGAGAAAGCUCUCUGUAGAAAAUUUCAUACAAAAAUUUCUAGCCUUCUUCAUGAAAAAUUCUAAAACUUUUAACAUCGGGUGAAAAUAGACCUGGUUGUCUCUUCAGUUGUGAUAUUAUUCAAAGCAGAAUAUACUUAGAUCUCUCACAUCUGACAUAAUUGAUCUUUGACAGCUUUAUUUGAAGCAGCUGUCAUUCUGUUUAAUUUCAACAAUCACAGAACAUUCUGCUUUAAUUCCUCUCUAGUUUGCUUGGACAGUUCAGAAAAUGAAACUCCCACCAUCACAAAAAUCAAAUCUUUAUAGCACUUAAACUGUUCAGAUUUUUAGCUAUCAGUUCAGAAAGGUCCAUAAAUCUUCACUAGCAAUCAAUGUACAUUAUGUUGAGCACACAAAUAAAUGUCAAAAUUUUA